GCAUUCUGACAGAAACUUGAUCUUUCUAUGAAAAACAGGAAGGAUAUAUUUAAAAAUGAUUGGAAAACAGGAAUAAGUUGGCAGGGUAGGUUCUACUAGCACAGUAAUUAUAAUGAAUUUAAGAAUAUUAAACCCACCAACUAAAAGACAGAGUUCUGCAUUUAAUUUAUUUUAAAAAUCCAAUCCUGUAAUCUUGAUUCUAAAGCUAAAUAAGGUUAAUGUAAGAAAAGAAAGUUAUAGGCCAUCUAAACUGUGAACAUCAAUUCAAAAAUCCUAAACAAAAUAUUAGCUUGCUGAAUUCAAUAGUAUAUUAAGGACUAACACAACAUGACAUAAUAAUAAUACAUCAUAAUAGGUAAGGUUUAUCCCAGGAAUGCAAGGAUGGUUUAUUCUUAGAAAACCUAUCAAUGUAAUUCCCCACAUUGAUAAACUUUAGGAGAAAAAUUAUUAAAUUAGUCAAUCAAAUCUAAACAUUUGAUAAAGUCCAAUAUCCAUUUUUAUUUUAAGUAAAACAACUCUUAGAAACUUAGGACUAGAAGGAUAUUUCCUUAACUUGAUAAAGUUUAUAUACCAGAAAUCUACAGUGAUGUUACACAUAAAAGAGAAAUUAUAGACAAAUUACCUUUAAAAACAAGUUGCUGUCCAGGCAUGGUGGCUCACACCUGCAAUCCCAGCACUUUGGGAGGCCAAGGUGGGAGAUGGGAAGAGCAAACAAGCUGCCCGUCCUGUCCCAACAGGUUUGUGGACACUCGUGCCCGCUGCCAUUCACUGCCACUCACUGUGGAUGCUGGGGAAGGGGGAAAUGUCGGUCCCCAAGGGGAGCAGAGAUGUUAUAGAAGAUCUACAGCCCAGCCUUCAGCCCCCCAAGUGAGGCCAGAGCCAGAUAUUUAGUGCUGCCAUGCAAUCAGACACAACUUUGCCCCGCCUGCCCUAAGCCAUUUCAGUUUCCACUUUUCUCACUGACCCAGCUGUGAGUCCAACAUUUCUUCCUCCCAAGCCCCGCAAGCUGCAGGACUUCCCAAAUGCUAUUCGCCCAAGCUGAGGACCUCCCCCAUGAAUAUACGUGUUCUCCAUGUCACAAAGCCGGAAGCCAAUACUCGGACCCCACUGCUGCGACCCAAAUGGCCAGCCGCAAAGAAAAUGUUAAUAACCACCAAAGCUUUUUAUUUUUUUUUGCAAUUUGCAAAGUGCUUUUGAAAGAUAUUAUUUCCAUCCCCAUGACAACCUUCUAGGUUAGCCAUUAUUAUCACCUCAUUUUAAGCAUAAGGAAGCAAGAGGUUUGCAGAAGUGUCCACAGAAACGGCAAAGUGAGGUCUGGAGCCCAAGCUGUCUCACUCUUCAUCUCGCCCUCGAUCAGCAGCUGCAAACUCAGCGCCCUGAUCAUCUGAAUGUGGUGACCAGUAGAAUCAGUGAUGACCACCUCUAGCUUUGUAACUCCCGGCUUUUCAGACCUGGCAGCUGGAUAAAUGAGGGGUUUCGGCCAGGCACAGUGGCUCGCGCCUAACACUUUGGGAGGCCGAGGUCAGGAGUUUGAGACCAGGAUAACCUGAGGUCAGGAGUUUGAGACCAGCCUGGCCAACAUGGUGAAACCUCGUCUCUACUAAAAAUACAAAAAAUCAGCCAGGUGUGGUGGUCAGUGCCUGUAAUCCCAGCUACUCAAGAGACUGAAGCAGGAAAAUCUCUUGAACCCUGGAGGUAGAGGUUGCAGUGAGCCGAGAUCACGCCAUUGCACUCUAGCCUGGGAAACAAGAACAAAACUUCAAAACAUCAUCUCAAAAAAAAUGAGGCGCUUUCACCUAACAGGCCUGAGAGGUCCAGGCAAACAUGGAUACAGACUUUACCUGAACUUGCUGGCCCAGGGGCAAGCGACCGGC
rnacentral:lncRNA from 1 species